rnacentral:rRNA from 1 species
UACGGGGGGGGCAAGCGUUGUUCGGAAUUACUGGGCGUAAAGGGCUCGUAGGCGGCCAACUAAGUCGGAUGUGAAAUCCCCAGGCCUAACCUGGGAACUGCAUCCGAUACUGGAUGGCUUGAAUCCGGGAGAGGGAUGCAGAAUUCCAGGUGUAGCGGUGAAAUGCGUAGAUAUCUGGAGGAAUACCGGUGGCGAAGGCGGCAUCCUGGACCGGCAUUGACGCUGAGUGAGCGAAAGCCAGGGGAGCAAACGGG